rnacentral:rRNA from 1 species
CAGUAGCCGCGGUAAUACGAAGGGGGCUAGCGUUGUUCGGAUUUACUGGGCGUAAAGCGCACGUAGGCGGACUUUUAAGUCAGGGGUGAAAUCCCGGGGCUCAACCCCGGAACUGCCUUUGAUACUGGAAGUCUUGAGUAUGGUAGAGGUGAGUGGAAUUCCGAGUGUAGAGGUGAAAUUCGUAGAUAUUCGGAGGAACACCAGUGGCGAAGGCGGCUCACUGGACCAUUACUGACGCUGAGGUGCGAAAGCGUGGGGAGCAAACAGGAUUAGAGACCCCUGUAGUCCCUGUCUCUUAUAC